rnacentral:tRNA from 1 species
GCGGGAUAGCUCAGUCGGUAGAGCAGGAGAAUCAUAAUCUCUUGGUCGGGGGUUCAAGUCCCUCUCCCGU